UACAGAGGUCUCAAGCGCUGUUCGGAUUCAUUGGGCGUAAAGGGCGCGUAGGCUGCGGGGCAAGUCGGGUGUGAAAUCUCAGAGCUCAACUCUGAAACUGCACUCGAUACUGCUUUGCUUGAGGACUGGAGAGGAGAUUGGAAUUCACGGUGUAGCAGUGAAAUGCGUAGAUAUCGUGAGGAAGACCAGUGGCGAAGGCGGAUCUCUGGACAGUUCCUGACGCUGAGGCGCGAAGGCCAGGGGAGCAAACGGG
rnacentral:rRNA from 1 species